rnacentral:rRNA from 1 species
UACGUAGGGUGCGAGCGUUGUCCGGAAUUAUUGGGCGUAAAGGGCUCGUAGGCGGUUUGUCGCGUCGGGAGUGAAAACUCAGGGCUUAACCCUGAGCCUGCAGUGGGUACGGGCAGACUAGAGUGAUGUAGGGGAGACUGGAAUUCCUGGUGUAGCGGUGAAAUGCGUAGAUAUCUGGAGGAACACCGAUGGCGAAGGCAACCACCUGGGCCUGUACUGACGCUGAGGUACGAAAGCGUGGGGAGCAAACAGG